GUGCUCGCUUCGGCAGCACAUAUACUAAACUUGGAACGAUACAGAGAAGAUUAGCAUGGCCCCUUGCGCAAGGAUGAAAGGAAGCAUUUAUAUAUCUACAUCCAAAUG